AUGUAGCGUACUGUUCAGCGGCUUCACAAACAGCGCGUUAUUGCGCAGCCAGACGUCGCCCUUCGCGGUCGUCAUAGUGCCAUCCAGCGGAAUGUCGAGAUGUAAGCGAGCAUUCACAUCGCCGUCGAGCUGGAGCUCGUCCAGCGUCGUGCCCAGAGAAUCUGCAAGCGGCGUCUCUUUAAAGUAAGGCCCGACCGCUUUACCCGGCCCGGCGAUAUCGGCAUCGAUAAAUAGUUUUUCCUGCGAGUAGUCCGGGAUAACGGCCGUCAGGUUUUUACCCGUGACGCCGCCAAGCAUGACCUGCGGCGCCGCCAUCCACAGCCCGUCAUUGCGAAAAUCGAGAUUAAUAGCGAAAUCUUUCAGCGCAGGCCAGUCCGGCUGGAACGCGUAGGUGGCGUUGUGCAGCGGCAC
rnacentral:ncRNA from 1 species